rnacentral:misc_RNA from 1 species
GAUGAAGAACGCUAGCGAAAUGCGAUACGUAGUGUGAAUUGCAGAAUUCAGUGAAUCAUCGAAUCUUUGAACGCACAUUGCACCUCUCGGUAUUCCGGGAGGUAUGCCUGUUCGAGCGUCAUUUGUACCCUCAAGCUCUGCUUGGUGUUGGGUGUUUGUUCCGCCUCUGUGUGUGAACUCGCCUCAAAACAAUUGGCAGCCGGCGUACUUGUUUCGGAGCGCAGCACAUUUUGCGAUCCAGAUCAACGUACAGCGGCAUCCAAGAAGCCUUAUUUAACGCUCUUGACCUCGGAUCAGGUAGGGAUACCCGCUGAACUUAAGCAUAUCAAUAAGCGGAGGA